rnacentral:rRNA from 1 species
UACGUAGGGGGGCAAGCGUUGUCCGGAAUCAUUGGGCGUAAAGAGCGUGUAGGCGGCCAGAUAAGUCCGCUGUGAAAACUCGAGGCUCAACUUCGAGCUGUCGGUGGAAACUAUUUGGCUAGAGUCCGGAAGAGGAGAGUGGAAUUCCUGGUGUAGCGGUGAAAUGCGCAGAUAUCAGGAAGAACACCCGUGGCGAAGGCGGCUCUCUGGUACGGAACUGACGCUGAGACGCGAAAGCGUGGGGGAGCGAACAGG